CUGACCAUCGAUGGUUGCUAGAGCGUGGAUAGGCUACCCAGCAACAUCUGCAUGGAAACUUAAACUUGACCAGGAUUGAGCACAUUCCUUAAUACUAUUCCAGCUCUUAAGAAGACCUGUUUUGUCAAGGACUAAAACUCUGCACAGACAGAAUUAGCAUCAAUUGUUCCCGCAAGACCUGUUCCAGCGAGUUUCUCCGGAAUUCCGAUGGACAGACCCGUUCCAGCGAGUUUCUCCGGAAUUCCGAUGGACAGAUGGCAAGACUUCAAGACAGGCUGAAGAAGAAGAUGAAGAACUAACCGCAGCAUGCCAUGGGGAAUAGUGGAUGGCCAACACUUUAAUCUUUGGAGUGCACUCCACUUGAAGAACUUUCUGUUGGUUUUAUAGAAGAGCAGCAUGUCAUGAUCCAGGCUAUUUCAAGUAGGAAUAGGCCUGUUAAUAAGUAGUGUGAUAUCAAUGUAUGUGAUAUCAAGAUAUCUGAGUGAUGUAUCAAUGGAUGUGAUGCCAAUGCUUCUGUGUAAUAUCAAUGUAUUUCCUGUAGGAAAAUUGUCUCUCAGGGAUUAAUGUUACCUGGCUGCUAAGUAAUAAACUGGGUAGAGUUUGCAUUGAUCUGCCAAGUAUGGCUCUGAGUAAAUAAGCUGUGCAGCUAUUCACAGCAUGAAACACUGGAAGGACAGUUUGUAGAUAGGUUUUCCUGUGUGCUGUACUGGUCCAGGGUCACUUCUGACAAACUAUGUGUUAGGUCA